rnacentral:rRNA from 1 species
UACGUAGGGUGCGAGCGUUGUCCGGAAUUACUGGGCGUAAAGAGCUCGUAGGUGGUUUGUCGCGUUGUUCGUGAAAACUCACAGCUUAACUGUGGGCGUGCGGGCGAUACGGGCAUCACUGGAGUUCGGCAGGGGAGACUGGAAUUCCUGGUGUAGCGGUGAAAUGCGCAGAUAUCAGGAGGAACACCGGUGGCGAAGGCGGGUCUCUGGGCCGAGUGACUGACGCUGGAGGAGCGAA